rnacentral:hammerhead_ribozyme from 1 species
GUACUGAUGAAGAGUCCCAAACUAAGACGAAACAGCUGUCUAGUAC